rnacentral:misc_RNA from 1 species
AAAGUCGUAACAAGGUCUCCGUUGGUGAACCAGCGGAGGGAUCAUUACCGAGUGCAAACUCAUAACCCUUUGUGAACCUACAACCGUUGCUUCGGCGGCUCGCCCCCGGGCGAGCCCGCCGGUACCAUCAGAAUCUCUGUUUGAACCCGACGAUACUUCUGAGUGUUCUUAGCGAACAGUUAAAACUUUCAACAACGGAUCUCUUGGCUCUA